GGGGCCGUAAUGGUUUCGACAGGCUGGCGAACGCUGAAUUGUGAUACAAGUCGAGAGUGAGUCUUCUCUCGCAAAUCCCGGGCUCAAAAAAAAUGUAACUGCGAAAAACAACAUCGUAGCUUUUGCUCGUAAAGCCGCUCCUGUAGCUGCCUAAUCUAACCUCUUUCAGGUUCGAGCAUCUGUAAUUUGACUCCGUUAAAGAUUGCAGAACUAACCCCAACGGACGCUCUAACAAGGUUUCUUGAAUUACUUGUUAGCUAAGACUUAAUUCAAGAAUCCCAUCGUUCGGGAUAAGGAACGAUUCCCGCUCUGAGGAUUAGAGGAGCUAAACUUGUGAACGAGCGAGAGGUUAAUACCCAGUUUGGACAGCAGUUCGACUCUGCUCGGCUCCAUUC
rnacentral:tmRNA from 1 species